UACGGGGGGAGCAAGCGUUGUUCGGAUUUACUGGGCGUAAAGGGCGCGUAGGCGGCCAGCACAAGUCAGUUGUGAAAUCUCCGGGCUUAACUCGGAAAGGUCAACUGAUACUGUGCGGCUAGAGUGCAGAAGGGGCAACUGGAAUUCUCGGUGUAGCGGUGAAAUGCGUAGAUAUCGAGAGGAACACCUGCGGCGAAGGCGGCAUUCUGGACCAUAACUGACACUGAGAGACGAAAGCCAGGGGAGCAAACGGG
rnacentral:rRNA from 1 species